GAUGAACGCUGGCGGCGUGCCUAACACAUGCAAGUCGAGCGUGAACCCUGCGAAUGAAACUUCGGUCGAUUUUGCAGGGGGAAAGCGGCGGACGGGUGAGUAACGCGUAGGUAACCUGCCCCAUACUGAGGGAUAGCCUCGGGAAACCGGGAUUAAUACCUCAUAACACCGUAUAUUCGCAUGGAUGUGCGGUCAAAGAUUUAUCGGUAUGGGAUGGGCCUGCGUCUGAUUAGCUGGUUGGUGGGUAACGGCCUACCAAGGCGACGAUCAGUAGCCGACCUGAGAGGGUGAUCGGCCACAUUGGAACUGAGACACGGUCCAAACUCCUACGGGAGGCAGCAGUGGGGAAUAUUGCACAAUGGGCGAAAGCCUGAUGCAGCAACGCCGCGUGAGCGAAGAAGGCCUUUGGGGUCGUAAAGGCUCUGUCGGGUAGGAAGAUAAUGACGGUACUACCCGAGGAAGCCCCGGCUAACUACGUG
rnacentral:rRNA from 1 species